rnacentral:rRNA from 1 species
UACGGGGGGGGCAAGCGUUGUUCGGAAUUACUGGGCGUAAAGGGCUCGUAGGUGGCCAACUAAGUCAGACGUGAAAUCCCCAGGCUUAACCUGGGAACUGCAUUCGAUACUGGACGGCUAGAGUAUGAGAGAGGGUGGUAGAAUUCCACGUGUAGCGGUGAAAUGCGUAGAUAUGUGGAGGAAUACCGGUGGCGAAGGCGGCCUCCUGGUUCAAUACUGACGCUGAGGUGCGAAAGCGUGGGGAGCAAACAGG